rnacentral:rRNA from 1 species
AGACCGAUAGCAAACAAGUACCGUGAGGGAAAAUUGAAAAGAACUUUGAAGAGAGAGUUCAAUAGUACGUGAAACUGUGUGGUGGUAAACGGAGGGGUUCUCGAAGUCUCCGUGGGGUACUCAACCUUGGUGGCGGGCAGUUGGGCCGAGUGCGAUCAGCAAUGACGUCUCGGCUCGCCGCGGCCUGCCUCUCGGGUGCAUUUCCCCCACGGUUCACGGCAGGAACCGUUGCGACCGGACCGAAGGCCCUGGGUGAAGUUGUCGCUUAUGGUGGCAGCCCCGGGUGUCCUGGCUCUGGGCGUGACGGGUACUUGGAGAGGACUCGUAUAGCGAGCAACGCUCUGUUGCGGUCCUCAUCUCUCUGCCGAGUAGGUCGGUGGCCCCUCCGACCCGUCUUGAAACACGGAC